rnacentral:rRNA from 1 species
ACUUAAAUUGAAGAGUUUGAUCAUGGCUCAGAUUGAACGCUGGCGGCAGGCCUAACACAUGCAAGUCGAGCGGCAGCGGAAAGUAGCUUGCUACUUUGCCGGCGAGCGGCGGACGGGUGAGUAAUGUCUGGGAAACUGCCUGAUGGAGGGGGAUAACUACUGGAAACGGUAGCUAAUACCGCAUAACGUCGCAAGACCAAAGAGGGGGACCUUCGGGCCUCUUGCCAUCAGAUGUGCCCAGAUGGGAUUAGCUAGUAGGUGGGGUAACGGCUCACCUAGGCGACGAUCCCUAGCUGGUCUGAGAGGAUGACCAGCCACACUGGAACUGAGACACGGUCCAGACUCCUACGGGAGGCAGCAGU